GAUAUACACAUAUCCUCAGUGAUUGAUAUAAUCUUGCAUCCAGUUCAUGUUAAGUUAUGGGCAUAGAAAACUCUAGAGGAAAGAACCGAAUACAAGAUAAUAUCUUAACGUUUCAGAAACCAAAAUGUGGACUACCAUGCACAAUGCAAUGCAGAAGAGCUCACUGGAUAUAGUGCACAGUUGUUUUUCAGUUAUAAAACUACUCUGGAGCUCAUAAAAUGAAGCAUUAUAAUCAACAUUAUUG
rnacentral:lncRNA from 1 species